AUCCCAUCAUGAAGACACUUACGAAGUAACUCCUUGAACCGCUCCCAAGCCUCAUUCAAGGACUCGUCAUCCAAUUGUUGCAAAGUUGUGAUCUUAUUCCUUAACUU
rfam:Gossypium raimondii chromosome 5, whole genome shotgun sequence.